rnacentral:rRNA from 1 species
GCCUGCCCAAUGAAUUAUUCAAUGGCCGCAGUAUUUUAACUGUGCGAAGGUAGCAUAAUAAUUAGUUUUUUAAUUGAGAACUGGUAUGAAUGGUUGGACGAGGAAAAAGCUGUCUCAAUUUAAAUUUAAUUAGAAUUUUAUUUUUAAGUUAAAAAGCUUAAAUAAAUUUAAAAGACGAGAAGACCCUAUAGAGUUUCAUAUUUUAUUAUUAUUUAGUAUAUAAAGAAUUUAAAGGAUUUUAUUUUAAAAUAAUAUUUAAUUGGGGUGAUUUAAAAAUUAGAUGAACUUAUUAUUGUUUUUACCAUUGAUAUAUGAUAGAUUGAUCCAUUAUUUAUGAUUAAAAGAUU